GCCUUAGCUCUGUGGCUGAGCACCUGCUUUUGAUGCAGAAGGUUGUAGGUUCGAGCCCCGAGGGCAUCUUGCAGGAGGCC